UGGUCAGUUUUAUUUCCAGUUGUAUGC
rnacentral:piRNA from 2 species